CCCGGCCCAGUCCCAUAAUCUUUAUCCCCUUUUCUUCAAGAACCUACACAUACAACCAUCCAAGAACAAGAAUACAACGUACAACAACAAUUCCCAGCUUCGGUGAAAUAACAUUCAAACCCACCGACCCAUUUGACCAAAAUCCAUCCAAAUCAACCUAUUUUCCCCCAAUUCCCCUUAUCUCAACCCAAAUCCAACUCGUUUUCUGCUUUCUCUUCACAGUCACGUGCUUUCCCACACGAUUUUGGUAUGAAAUCUUAUAUAAGAGGGUGAGGUGUUACCCCCAACAUCCGAAUUCUGUGAUUUUUAGGAUAACGCGUAUGGAUUCGUACCUGUUUGGCAAAUUUUCGUUGGUUCUUGGGAAAAUGAUCCAUUUCCCCCAAUGGUUGUUGGCUAUCUGUUGAAAAUCCAUUCAAUAAAAUCAAUAGGGGUACAAUUUGUGAGCAUUCUCCUCUUUUGAAUUCAAAACGAACCCUCAACCCUCCUUUUAUAAAUAGCUCUCUUUAGGGUCUGAAGGGGGGAAUUUUUCUUUCUUGGGGGAAUUUUUCUUUCUUUUGGGGACUGAUCCUAGGCUUUUAGGUUGAAAAUUAGGGUUUUGAAAAGGGGGAAAUCUUCUGAGUAAGUUUCUGAUUUCGAAAACAGAGAGGAAAAAUUCUUGGAUUUUUUUUUGAAUUCAAGUUGAAAGUCUUACUUGAAAAUCUGGGAGAUUUCAAAAUUUAUAAGAGAAAAAAUCAAAAGGACGCUCUGCUGGUGGUCGACGUCGCGAGAUUCUGGUAGCGAUAAGUUUGUUGAUAACUCGUCGUCCCGUUUGCUGCCCUAGAGGAGUUCUAGGGUUGGAAAAAUCUGAAGAAGGAAAAAUCUUUUCUGAGCUUUCUGGGUUCGAUUGAAGAAACUUCUCUUCGAAAACCUUCUAGUGGUAGUGGUUGAGCUUUUGUUAUAGGUUCGAGUCCCGUUUGCUACUUUUAAAGAGACAGGCCCUUUUCUCUUAGCAUAUGUAUUAUGGGCCAUUGAGGCCUAUCCUUCAUAAGUCGAUUUCGAAGGCCCUAAGGAGAUAAUCUCAUAGUACAUGACUCCGAAGAAGAAGAAUAGAUUAAAGUCCCAUUCUUGAAGCGGCGACGAGACCCGUGUCUCCUUUAUAUUUAUUUAUUUGUCGUCGUUAUUUAUUUUUGUCAUAUUUAUUUAUUCCUUCAAUUAUUUAUUUGGGCCUCGAAUCCAAAGUUGUACUUAAUACAGGUGAAGCGAGACUCGAGCUAAAAGGCUAAAAAACAUAGAGUUAGGACAGGUGAAAACGGGUCGAAAACUCAACUAGAUUAGGACAGGGUCGAUGGUUUGAGAUUAAAAGCCUAAAUCAUUACUUUACCA